rnacentral:lncRNA from 1 species
GUUCUCAAUAGCCAAAAAAGUGACACAAAGAACAUGCAGGGAGCUGCACUUUAGGUAACAUUCUGAAAGGCUAGAAUUUGUAUCAUUUGCUAAGGUUUAUUGAAGGCACCAAAUAUCAGCAGUCACUUAGCUCCCCUAUUGCCAUGUGAACUUUUAUGAAUGAAUAGGCCAUUAGACUAGCUUCCUUAGAUUCCUGCCAUAGAAGCUAAGCUGCACAAAUUUGAUUCAUUAUGCUCUAGAGUGGUUACAAGGGUGGCUAGUUGUUCAGAGGUCUGUAACUUUAGCAGACAGCAUCCGACCUUCACUGCUGUCAGUUAUCUAUGUUUAGCAGAGUUUCUUUUGCAGAUACACUGCUCAAGGCCAAUAACGGGGUUCUUUAUUAUUUUGUCUUAGGUGAUUAAGUUAGGUGAGAAAAAUAAUUAGGAAGUGUAAAUUGCGACCAGCUUUUUUUUAGUUUUCUGAUGCAAAUAGAAAUCCUCUUCAUGUUGUUUGCUUGAGAAAUUGUCUCAUGCAUGGUUACCUUAAAUAUGAUUAUCACAUGUGUUUGAGGUGUAGGUCAGGUUGCCAUCGCUUUUGUUUGUCUUGCCUGCAUCAGAAAUACAAGCGAUGCCUCCUCCCCCAUGCUCUUGAUUAGAAUUUUACUUGCAAUACAAGCAUACUAAGUAUAAAGCUCAUCCAUGUUCUUGAUUGGAGUUU